rnacentral:rRNA from 1 species
UAGGGAAUCUUCCGCAAUGGACGAAAGUCUGACGGAGCAACGCCGCGUGAGUGAUGAAGGUUUUCGGAUCGUAAAGCUCUGUUGCCAGGGAAGAAUGCUUGGGAGAGUAACUGCUCCCAAGGUGACGGUACCUGAGAAGAAAGCCCCGGCUAACUACGUGCCAGCAGCCGCGGUAAUACGUAGGGGGCAAGCGUUGUCCGGAAUUAUUGGGCGUAAAGCGCGCGCAGGCGGCCUUGUAAGUCUGUUGUUUAAACUUGGGGCUCAACCCCAAGUCGCAAUGGAAACUGCAAAGCUUGAGUGCAGAAGAGGAAAGUGGAAUUCCACGUGUAGCGGUGAAAUGCGUAGAGAUGUGGAGGAACACCAGUGGCGAAGGCGACUUUCUGGGCUGUAACUGACGCUGAGGCGCGAAAGCGUGGGGAGCAAACA